rnacentral:rRNA from 1 species
AUACGUAGGGGGCGAGCGUUGUCCGGAAUGAUUGGGCGUAAAGGGCGCGUAGGCGGCCCGGUAAGUCUGGAGUGAAAGUCCUGUUUUUAAGAUGGGAAUUGCUUUGGAUACUGUCGGGCUUGAGUGCAGGAGAGGUAAGUGGAAUUCCCAGUGUAGCGGUGAAAUGCGUAGAGAUUGGGAGGAACACCAGUGGCGAAGGCGACUUACUGGACUGUAACUGACGCUGAGGCGCGAAAGUGUGGGGAGCAAACAGGAUUAGAUACCCUGGUAGUCCACACUGUAAACGAUGAAUGCUAGGUGUAGGAGGUAUCGACCCCUUUUGUGCCGGAGUCAACACAAUAAGCAUUCCGCCUGGGGAGUACGGCCGCAAGGUUGAAACUCAAAGGAAUUGACGGGG